rnacentral:rRNA from 1 species
CCUACGGGGGGCAGCAGUAGGGAAUAUUGCUCAAUGGGGGAAACCCUGAAGCAGCAACGCCGCGUGGGGGAUGAAGGUUUUCGGAUUGUAAACUCCUUUUGUUAGAGAAGAUAAUGACGGUAUCUAACGAAUAAGCACCGGCUAACGCCGUGCCAGCAGCCGCGGUAAUACGGAGGGUGCAAGCGUUACUCGGAAUCACUGGGCGUAAAGGGCGCGUAGGCGGGAUAGCAAGUCAGAUGUGAAAUCCUAUGGCUUAACCAUAGAACUGCAUUUGAAACUGUUAUUCUAGAGUAUGGGAGAGGUAGGUGGAAUGCUUGGUGUAGGGGUAAAAUCCGUAGAGAUCAAGAGGAAUACUCAUUGCGAAGGCGACCUGCUAGAACAUAACUGACGCUGAUGCGCGAAAGCGUGGGGAGCAAACAGGAUUAGAUACCCCGGUAGUC